rnacentral:rRNA from 1 species
ACGUACACGGCACGCAUGCGACCGUCACAUAAAAAUGCAGGAGAGCAAACGCAUCAGCAAUAAAAGAUUAACAACGACCAUAAGUUCCAAGGUACCAUAGUAACCUAGAAUCAUACUGUCGCGCGUUUAUUAAUUUCGCAAGUCCGUCGCUGAAUCCUGGGUAAACAGUUGAAUCGACUUCGACGUCCCGGAAACAGUUUUCCGCCCCCAUCAGCUUCGAUGGGUUGGGGUAUUGGGCCUACCAUUGCAACAACGGGUAACGAGGAAUUAGGGUUUGAUUUCGGAGAGGGAGCCUGAGAAACGGCUACCACAUCUACGGAUGGCAGCAGGCGCGCAAAUUACCCAAUGCAGACACUGUGAGGUAGUGACGAGAAAUAAUAAAGCGGGACUUCUGUUUCGCUAUUAUAAUGAGGAAUAACCAAAGGUCAUUCCGAUUAGCAACUGAUGGGAAAGUCUGGUGCCAGCAGCCGCGGUAAUACCAGCGUCAGUAGCAUAUAUUA